rnacentral:rRNA from 1 species
AGUGAACGCUGGCGGUAGGCCUAACACAUGCAAGUCGAACGGCAGCACAGUAAGAGCUUGCUCUUACGGGUGGCGAGUGGCGGACGGGUGAGGAAUACAUCGGAAUCUACUUUUUCGUGGGUGAUAACGUAGGGAAACUUACGCUAAUACCGCAUACUACCUACGGGUGAAAUCAGGGGAGCUUCGGACCUUGCGCGAUUGAAUGAGCCGAUGUCGGAUUAGCUAGUUGGCGUGGUAAAGGCCCACCAAGGCGACGAUCCGUAGCUGGUCUGAGAGGAUGAUCAGCCACACUGGAACUGAGACACGGUCCAGACUCCUACGGGAGGCAGCAGUGGGGAAUAUUGGACAAUGGGCGCAAGCCUGAUCCAGCCAUACCGCGUGGGUGAAGAAGGCCUUCGGGUUGUAAAGCCCUUUUGUUGGGAAAGAAAAGCAGCAGGUUAAUCCCCCGCUGUUCUGACGGUACCCAAAGAAUAAGCACCGGCUAACUUCGUG